rnacentral:misc_RNA from 1 species
GAUGAAGAACGCAGCGAAAUGCGAUACGUAAUGUGAAUUGCAAAUUCAGUGAAUCAUCGAGUCUUUGAACGCACAUUGCGCCCUCUGGUAUUCCGGAGGGCAUGCCUGUCCGAGCGUCAUUGCUGCCCUCAAGCACGGCUUGUGUGUUGGGCCCCGCCCCCCGAUCCCGGGGGGCGGGCCCGAAAGGCAGCGGCGGCACCGCGUCCGGUCCUCGAGCGUAUGGGGCUUUGUCACCCGCUCUGUAGGCCCGGCCGGCGCUUGCCGAUCAACCAAACUUUUUUCCAGGUUGACCUCGGAUCAGGUAGGGAUACCCGCUGAACUUAAGCAUAUCAAUAAGCGGAGGA